UUAUCGGAUUUAUUUAAAUCCACAUCUAAUUAGAAUAUAUGUCAAA
rfam:Tyto alba contig120852, whole genome shotgun sequence.